UCAUGCGGAGAGAACCAACAGGGAUUGCCUCAGUAACGGCGAGUGAAGCGGCAACAGCUCAAAUUUGAAAUCUGGCCCUCGGGUCCGAGUUGUAAUUUGUAGAGGAUGCUUUUGGCGCGGUGCCUUCCGAGUUCCCUGGAACGGGACGCCUUAGAGGGUGAGAGCCCCGUACGGUUGGACACCAAGCCUCUGUAAAGCUCCUUCGACGAGUCGAGUAGUUUGGGAAUGCUGCUCUAAAUGGGAGGUAAAUUUCUUCUAAAGCUAAAUAUUGGCCAGAGACCGAUAGCGCACAAGUAGAGUGAUCGAAAGAUGAAAAGCACUUUGAAAAGAGGGUUAAAUAGCACGUGAAAUUGUUGAAAGGGAAGCGUUUGCGACCAGACCUUUUCCUGGCGGAUCAUCCGGUGUUCUCACCGGUGCACUUCGCCAGGUCGAGGCCAGCAUCGGUUUCCGCGGGGGGAUAAAAGCUCUGGGAACGUAGCUCCUCCGGGAGUGUUAUAGCCCUCUGCACAAUACCCCCGCGGGGACCGAGGACCGCGCUCUAAGCAAGGAUGCUGGCGUAAUGGUUGUCAACGACCCGUCUUGAAACACGGACCAAGGAGUCGAACAUUUGUGCGAGUGUUUGGGUGUCAAACCCUCACGCGUAAUGAAGGUGAACGUAGGUGAGAGCCCUUACGGGUGCAUCAUCGACCGAUCCUGAUGUCUUCGGAUGGAUUUGAGUAAGAGCAUAACUGUUCGGACCCGAAAGAUGGUGAACUAUGCGUGGAUAGGGUGAAGCCAGAGGAAACUCUGGUGGAGGCUCGCAGCGGUUCUGACGUGCAAAUCGAUCGUCAAAUCUGCGCAUGGGGGCGAAAGACUUAUCGAACCAUCUAGUAGCUGGUUACCGCCGAAGUUUCCCUCAGAUAGCAGUGUUGUUCUUCAGUUUUAUGAGGUAAAGCGAAUGAUUAGGGACUCGGGGGCGCUUUUUUGCCUUCAUCCAUUCUCAAACUUUAAAUAUG
rnacentral:rRNA from 1 species